rnacentral:lncRNA from 1 species
GCGUCCCCGUGAUGUUAAUAGGCAGCAAGAUCGGGAACUACUAGGCUGCGGGUUCCUCAGGUUCUAAUCUAUGAUGUCAUUGGCUUUAUCAGGGCAAUUUUUCCUGGCCACAUUAGGCAGGAGAGGUGCCUGUGCAUCUCAGAAGUGUCUAUGGAACUCUGCUUCUGAACUUCCCAGCACGCUCAAAACAGGACCUGGUUUACAGCAAAGGGCCAGCUCCUGGCAACAUCAUGAAACAAACGUACACUAUCCUCUACCCAGGGUUCCCUUCAGCCUAUAGGUGCCCGACGGCCCCUGCUCUGUGCUCCAUCCUGACAUCAGGAAACCCACGAAUGGGAGAAAAUCUCAUGUCACCUGUUUACAGGUGAGUGAACAUUUAAGUCAAUGGGUUGCUCUCUCCUGGGGAGCUCUAAUUGUAGAAUUUAAGAGGGCAGAGUGAAGCCAGUGGGAGUCCUGCCAGGUUUGAGUCACAGCUUGGCCACUUAUGAGUCCCUCUCAUUACCCCACCAGAGCCCGGCGUCCUGAUGCAUAACACCCACCACCCGGCUUAGGGAGGGCUGACAGAGUGAAUUACUGACAGAGGAUGGCCCUUGGCCAUUUCUGCUUCCUUCACUUUCCCAUCACUGCCUUAGAAUCUGGAGAGACUCAUGCUGGCUUCACCUGGACAGGCAUCCUGACACGCAAGCGAGGAUUGCUCCCACCAAUUUUCUGCGAGAGAAACAGGGGUUCGGUUGAUUCCUGGCAACACGUUCGUGUGGGGAUGCACGUGGGGGUGCAGAGCUGGACUUGGGAGAUGCUUCAGCUGAUAGCACACUUUUCCUUUGGGGAGUUUUCUUCCUGCUGUUAUAACACCUGUCUCCAAACAAAGCCUUCAUUGGUCAACAGUGAAUGAUUCAUUUAUUCUGUGCAUAGACCUAUGGCGUGAGAUGCAUUUGGAAACCUUGAGAACAGCGGUUCCCAACCUUGGUGCUUGGAGUAAUGUCCGAGGACAUUUUUGGUUGUCACAACUGGGGCAGGGAACUGUUGCUGGCGUCUAGUGGGUGGGGUCCAGGGGUACUGCUAAACGUCCUGCAGGGCAGAGGCUAGUGCCACCGCAGAGAAUGAUCCAGUGCAAAUGUCGCUGGUGCUGAGAAUCCUACUUCAGACCCAGGGCAAGACUGAUUGCAUGUGUUCAUUUAUAUCUGCUCUUGUAGUCAUUCAGUCAAGAAAUGAGCACCUUGAAUGACUAUUAAAUCAAGACAGGUUGGGUGUGGUGGCUCACACCUGCAAUCCCAGCACUUUGGGAGGCCGAGGCAGGUGGAUCACUUGAGGUUAGGAGUUUGAGACCACCCUGGCCAACAUGGCGAAACCCUGUCUCUACUAAAAAUACAAAAAUUAGCAGGGCAUGGUGGUGCAUGCUUGUGAUCCCAGCUAAUUGGAAGGCUGGCGCACGAUAAUCACUUGAACCUGGGAGGAAGAGGUUGCAAUGAGCAGAGAUUGCACCGCUGUACUCCAGGGUGACAGAGCAAGACUGUCUAAAAAAAAUCAAGACAGAUCUCUGAGACUCCACAGGUCAAUGGAAGAUGAACAGAGGGGCGGUGGGGCUGCCCCCCACCCAUGUGGGAGGCAUGGGCAAUGCCUAGGUUGACCAGCUGCCCAUGCUCUGAGGCAGUAGUCUCAGGGCAGGGUGUGCACCCUCCCAGGCAGGGCAGCACUCACUUAUGGUACAGAAGGAAUCUUAGAGCUUCCCUUACUCAGGAAUGAAAUGAGCUCUAGCCCCUGCCAUCACCUUUUGCUCAACACUCACCCACUCCAGGCUUCAAAAGGAGGCUGCCCACAUGGACAGCUCAGAGGGACUCCAGGGCACGUGGUUGAUGGAGAAGCCAGAUGCAGAGUGGUUCACUUGGGGGUGCAGUUCAGGAAGCCACGGGGUGGGUGUGAGGGUGUAGUGGAGCGUAUCAGUGCAAGGAUACCCUGAGACUGGGGGUGACAUUGACUCCACAGGCACGGGAAGGAGCUUGGAAACAGACUGAACUCAGAACAUGCAUGUCACGAGGGGAGGGGCUGGAGGCUUGGGGUUGGGAGAGGCUGCCUCCACUGCUGAGGGCACAACUUCCUGGUUCAGCCCCGGCAGGCCUGCAGAUCCCCCUGCAUCCUUUCCCUGAAGAUGGGCCAUCUGUGCCUAGACAGGUUGGCAUGUGUAUUAGAUUCUUAGGGCUGCCACAGCAAAGAACCACAGACUGGGGGGCUUAAAUAACACAAGUGUAUUUUCUCACAGUCUAGGAGGCUGGAAUUGCAAGGAGCUCAGGGUGUCAGCAGGGCUGGUUUCUCCUGAGGCCCCUCUCC